GUGCCGUGACUCGGAUCACGGUUUCCCGGCAGAGUCUCAUACUGGGGAGGCGCCCCGCUGAAUUCCAGUGGCCCCCGCCUGCAGACUGGUCUGCCGGAGCCCCGACCGACGAACCCUAAAAUUCGGCAACAAGCAAAAGAACACAGGUUAACCCCAUAAUCUUUGUGCACGAAGUCCCGGACGAAGACGCACAGGGUUGUAAGCUGCUAUUCGAACUGCUGAGAAGGGGUGGACGCAUGCCAGUCGUGUGACAGGACCUAUACGAGAUUCAUCCUGGCAGGUGACCAGCUCUCCCGGAGAUCUACGAGUCACCCUUCGAAAGACCUAAUGCGAACAUUGUGAAAAGCAAGGUACAAGACACCACAAAAGGACUCAGUAAGUGAGAUGUUAAUAUUUUGUCAGUCGAAACCCGUAGCUGUUUCCUUUUCGUGUGUAUAGAAUACAAUAUAUGUAAAGAAGGCUGGUGGAUUCAUAAUACAUUUGAGGUGAACUUCCGAUCCAGUCGUCAUCAAGAUUACUGACUAGAAUGGUGACUAACUAACUGGGCCUUAAAAUUAGAUUAACAACAGAGAA